rnacentral:rRNA from 1 species
CAAGCGGUGGGGCAUGUGGUUUAAUUCGAUGCAACGCGAAGAACCUUACCUACUCUUGACAUCCAGCGAACUUAGCAGAGAUGCUUUGGUGCCUUCGGGAACGCUGAGACAGGUGCUGCAUGGCUGUCGUCAGCUCGUGUUGUGAAAUGUUGGGUUAAGUCCCGCAACGAGCGCAACCCUUAUCCUUUGUUGCCAGCGAUACGGUCGGGGACUCAAAGGAGACUGCCGGUGAUAAACCGGAGGAAGGUGGGGGUGACGUCAAGUUAUCAUGGCCCUUACGAGUAGGGCUACACACGUGCUACAAUGGCGCAUACAAAGAGAAGCGACCUCGCGAGAGCAAGCGGACCUCAGAAAGUGCGUCGUAGUCCGGAUCGGAGUCUGCAACUCGACUCCGUGAAGUCGGAAUCGCUAGUAAUCGUGGAUCAGAAUGCCACGGUGGAUACGUUCCCGGGCCUUGUACACACC